UACGUAGGGUGCAAGCGUUAAUCGGAAUUACUGGGCGUAAAGCGUGCGCAGGCGGUUUGUAAGUCUGACGUGAAAUCCCCGGGCUUAACCUGGGAAUUGCGUUGGAGACUGCAAGGCUGGAGUCUGGCAGAGGGGGGUAGAAUUCCACGUGUAGCAGUGAAAUGCGUAGAGAUGUGGAGGACACCGAUGGCGAAGGCAGCCCCCUGGGUCAAGACUGACG
rnacentral:rRNA from 1 species